UGGUCAAGUAGUUCGCGGCAGCGGUACCGGCUUGCCAAGCUGCUCAGAGGACGUAGCGGGAGAGGUCCUCGUUCUGGGCGAGUUCGACCAG
rnacentral:tRNA from 1 species